rnacentral:rRNA from 1 species
UGGGGAAUAUUGCACAAUGGGCGCAAGCCUGAUGCAGCCAUGCCGCGUGUGUGAAGAAGGCCUUCGGGUUGUAAAGCACUUUCAGCGAGGAGGAAGGUGGUGAGCUUAAUACGCUCAUCAAUUGACGUUACUCGCAGAAGAAGCACCGGCUAACUCCGUGCCAGCAGCCGCGGUAAUACGGAGGGUGCAAGCGUUAAUCGGAAUUACUGGGCGUAAAGCGCACGCAGGCGGUUUGUUAAGUCAGAUGUGAAAUCCCCGGGCUCAACCUGGGAACUGCAUUUGAAACUGGCAAGCCAGAGUCUCGUAGAGGGGGGUAGAAUUCCAGGUGUAGCGGUGAAAUGCGUAGAGAUCUGGAGGAAUACCGGUGGCGAAGGCGGCCCCCUGGACGAAGACUGACGCUCAGGUGCGAAAGCGUGGGGCAGCAAACAGGAUUAGAUACCCUGGUAGUCCACGCUGUAAACGAUGUCGAUUUGGAGGUUGUGCCCUUGAGGCGUGGCUUCCGGAGCUAACGCGUUAAAUCGACCGCCUGGGGAGUACGGCCGCAAGGUUAAAACUCAAAGGAAUUG